rnacentral:rRNA from 1 species
CCCCGGCACAAGGCAGCGGAGUCGUGUGGUUUAAUUCGAUGCUACACGAAGAACCUUACCAGGUCUUGACAUCCCUGACAACCCGAGAGAUCGGGCGUUCCCCUUCGGGGGACAGGGUGACAGGUGGUGCAUGGUUGUCGUCAGCUCGUGUCGUGAGAUGUUGGGUUAAGUCCCGCAACGAGCGCAACCCUCGACCUUAGUUGCCAGCAUUCAGUUGGGCACUCUAAGGUGACUGCCGGCUAAAAGUCGGAGGAAGGUGGGGAUGACGUCAAAUCAUCAUGCCCCUUAUGACCUGGGCUACACACGUGCUACAAUGGGCGGUACAAAGGGUCGCGAACCCGCGAGGGGGAGCCAAUCCCAAAAAGCCGCUCUCAGUUCGGAUUGCAGGCUGCAACUCGCCUGCAUGAAGCCGGAAUCGCUAGUAAUCGCGGAUCAGCAUGCCGCGGUGAAUACGUUCCCGGGCCUU